rnacentral:rRNA from 1 species
ACACGUAGGGGGCGAGCGUUGUCCGGAAUUACUGGGCGUAAAGGGCGUGUAGGCGGCCUGUCAAGUCAGGUGUGAAAAACCGGGGCUCAACCCUGGUCGUGCACUUGAAACUGGCGGGCUUGAGUGCAGGAGAGGAAAGUGGAAUUCCCAGUGUAGCGGUGAAAUGCGUAGAUAUUGGGAGGAACACCAGUGGCGAAGGCGACUUUCUGGCCUGUAACUGACGCUGAGGCGCGAAAGCUAGGGGAGCAAACAGGAUUAGAUACCCUGGUAGUCCUAGCCGUAAACGAUGGGUACUAGGUGUAGGGGGUUUAUACACUUUCUGUGCCGUAGUUAACACAUUAAGUACCCCGCCUGGGGAGUACGGCCGCAAGGCUGAA